UUCAGGCAGGUUCUUUACCAUCUGGGCCACCUGGGAAACCCAGAGGAGGUUCCACCUGGGCUGAAUUCUAAGGGUGUGGGCAUUAGCGAAGAGUAGGGAUGGCAAGAUUGGGGUGCAGUGUGUACAAAGGCCUGGGGCCAGAGGCACACCUGACCCAGAUUCUGUAAAGCCCAAAGCUAACCGGUUUAGUCUGAGGAGGAAGGGUCCACGUAGGCCAGAGUCGGUGGGAGGGGCUUACCGGUGUGGGUGGGGCCAGUACUGGCCCUUGAAAUAGUUAGAAAGCUCAGGUACUGGAUUGUGCAACUUGUGGCUUUAAAUGUGUCCUGAAGAUUCUUCAGGGGUUUUCAUUGUUGCCUCAAGUACCAGCCCCUUGAGAACAGGAUGGGUUUUUCUGGUGGCCUGGGGCUAACCCCUGCUUCGCUUCUGCCCAGAUAUAGCCUUGACCAACAGUCUGACAUCUCACAAGGAAGCAGACAAAGCUCACCUGGCAAAAGUAAGAGGUCUAGAAGGUUUUCUCGGAUCGUGUCAGGUUUUCUCCAUUUAUUCAUCCCUGAUGGUAGUUCCAAGGGAAGAGGGGUAUGAGGAAAAGGAAGCCUUUUCUAAUAGAGCAGGCUGACCAAGGCACAGGGAGAGCAAGGAUUUGGACCCCUGUCUGCAGCACUCAAGAGGCAGUGCCUGAGCCCGCUGGGAGGGGCAGCCCCCAGGACCAGAUUGGGGAGGAUGCCCCAUGCAGCUGAGCCUCAGAGCCUUGCUCACUUGGUUAGAAAGUGCAGACAGUAAAGUAUGACUUUUCCUUGUGGCUCUGAAAGAGGAAUGACGAUGAAGGGGCUCUGAGGUCAUCAGAGAGCAAAGAUAGUCCUGGACUAGACUAGACUGGAGAAUUCCCAAAGGAAUCCUGCAGUAAGAGCCAGACCUCUUCCCCGCCCUGACGGCUCUGCCUGCAGCCAAGAAGCCCCAUCUGGUGAUAAGAACCUGCCUGUUAGAAGUCUUGGGCUGUGAACACGCCCCUCUCACCAACUUCCGGGGGAGGAGACUCACCUGUGCUGAGGCCUGGUGCUAGGCCCUUUGCACACAAGACUUGUACUUCAUCUGUCAUCCUGUGAGGUGCGCACUGCUACCAUCCCCGUCUUAGUGGUGAGUAAACUGAAGCUGGCGGAGGUGAAGUGACUCACCAAAGAACAAACUGGUGGUAGUGGGUGGAAGGGAGUAAGGUGAGCAGAGGCCCAAAGGGACAGGGCCUGGGGCCAAUAGCAGUUGGCUGUGGGAAACCAAGGCACGUGCCUGUGAAAUGAGAACUUUCUUUCUCAUGAGCUGAAGUGAACAUACAACAACGCACUUCGCUUCCCCCAAAGUUUGGGCUGUAUUAAUAGUGGCAUGGCAUGCAGGUCAAAGGAGGAGAUUAGUCCUCCUUCUGACUGAGACUACCUGAAGGGCUAGGAUCCUUUCAAGGCCCCCAACACCUAAUAGCCACAGAAGAGCCAGCACACUGUACCAGACCAGAUGGACAGGGAGGAGAAGCCUGGGGAGACCGGUAUAUCCUAGACCUCUGAGGAAUCUCCUGGAGGCAGAGUCCAGCCCCAUAGAGAGAAAAACAUCCUGGAACUUAGGAAUUAUGAAAAUGGAAUGAAAAAUAUGAGGUAGUGAGCCUCUUAUGCUGGGAGCAGAUGCCGGAGGACCAGAGAUGCGGAGAGGACUCCUUCCUAGCCUCACGGGUGGUCUAGAUUCAGCCCUCACAUUGACGGAGCAUGUAGUGUUCACCUUUCCACCACACAUGUCCAGCAAACACAGGGUUUUAGGCCACACAGGUGGUGAGGCUGACCCUGCCUAGCCUGGGCCAGGCUCUAGGUUUGUUCUGCAGUUCUGCUUAGACUGCUUUGGGGAAACCAGGCAUUGGAAAUGGUGGAGGUCUUGGACCUGUGAACUGGCUGCUGCUGGACUAUCUGAAGUCACCUUUUUCAGAAUGCUGAAUAUUGUCUAGUGCCCUGGACCUUCCAGCUUCCCAUCAUGGAGUCUCCACUCAAUCAGAACCUAGGAGAAGCCAACAAACCACUGCCCCCCGUCCCCAUCACCUGUGUGGGCAGCAGGACUUCCCAGAGCACCCUGACCUCCCUAAAGAGAGGCUUCCCUGGCCCUCAUACCUCAGAACUCAGUCUUGAUCCCCUCUGUCUGACACUGUGUAGUCCCCAGACUUUGCCCUUUUUCCUGACAAGGGCUCCAACCCACGUCCACUGCAACUUCCCACUGCCAUCCACAGCCUCCAGACCUGGCCCUGUCAAUGGUUCUCUCACCUGUCUUCUACUCUCCACUUGGCUGGUCUAGUCUCUGCUGAGUUUGAGGGGCUAGGGCCAGUCACAGUUUUUUAAAUUGAAUUAGAGCAUAUAAUAUGCCACCCAGAUCAAGCGAGAGAACACUUUCAGGUCCAUCCUUUUAAAAUGGCUUGAUCCCCUAGACUCCCACAGCUUUAUUAUUGGACACUUGGCAGCUGUUGCCUUUUAUCCCAGCUAGCUGCAGGAGGGGGAAGCAUUCUGGGAGCUGUUUGUUUUUCUCCCUGCCUGACCUAGCACAGUGUGAGGCCUGUUGGAGGUGCCCCUUGAGGCCCAUUAGAUGGAGGGGUGUCGAGUUUCCCAGGUGUGUCUCUGCAUAUAUGCUCAGUUGCCCCUCAGAAAUGUGGGAGAGGCGACAGGUGAACGAUGGGGUCACGGGAGUGCAAGAAAAGCCCUGAGCACCAAAUGUGCUGGUUCUGCUCAGGUGACUGGCCACCCCAGUGUGAUGUGUGUAGGCCUGGAGGCACACAUUCCCAGCAGAAGGUUCAGCUGUGUAGAAUUCCGUGUAUGGAAUGCCCUUUCUAGAGAGCCCUGGCUAUGGCAUGGGGCUGGCCAAGCUCUCAUCCUGGGCCCUGGAGCUUCAGGCUUGAGCACCCACCAUGGCAGGAUCAGACAGCUUAAGGAAGAGGGCCAGGCCCAGCUCCAGGAGCCUUUGAAGUCAGAUGCCUGGUGCAGAAUGUUCUGAGGGAGGCGAGAUCACACAGAUUCUCAGGUAGAGGCCAAGACCCCUGCUGCUAGCCUGAGGGAGUCUAUCCCUGUCUCCUCUGGCUUCAAGGCCUUGGGAGAUGGUGCCCUCUAGGAAAUAGAGCCAUGGCCUGGGCUUGAGCAGCAAAGUGGGCGCAGCAAGGAGUUGGAGGGAAGUGGGAGGCAUGGUAAUAUGGGAAUGGGGUGUGGUACAUGAAGUUCAACAGCUGUCCUGAAAAACUGUGUCUCCAGUCUAUUGGAAGGUUUGAAGACUCACUCCCUCUUUGCUCCAGGCAGAGAGGAACCUCUUCUCUGAGGUCCUCUUCUCUGAGGUCCAGAUGCUGGUUGUCACUGAGGGUCUUCCUCUUGGGUGGGUUCUGAGUCCCUCAGAUCAUCCUGUUCCUGUCUUCUCUUAUCUUUUUGAUUGUAGUAAAUAUUUAGGGGUCUCACUUGGGGACACUGGGUGAAUCUGAUUUUACAUCAUAUCUGUUAACUCAAGGCUCAGAGUCUGACUUUACAUCGUAUCUGUUAACUCCCAGGUCCAUCUGACACCAAAAUUUGCUUUAAGGCAGCAUGGUGGCAACAUCUUAUUAUGAGGGAUGGGCUGUCCCUCCAUGGUUAGUAGAGGCAUGAUCACAAGCAUAUGCUGUUAAUAGGGAAGGAGAGAGAGAAGGAAGAGAAGUGCAUGCCAAUGGUCAGUGUAGAUGAUAAGGACUGAGGUGUCUUAGAUCAGCCCCUGAAUGGGGGAGGCUGGGAUGUGGACAUUUCCUGAGGACCUACGGUGUGCCAAGCACUUGUUUGUGUAUGAUCAGCAGGUAUAUUAUUAUUUUUAUUUUACUAAGAGGGAAGAUGAUGCACAGAGGAUUUACCCAAUCGGAGUAAAAGAUGUGGAGAUGGGUUUUGAGCCAGGUGUGGCCAAUUCCAAGGUUGGCCCUCUUUCUUCUCCAUGGAAAGUGAUCUCCAGUUGCUAUAAGUAUGCCUUCAGGAUGGGAUGUCAGCUGCCCAAUAGCUAAUUUUCAGACAUUUGAGGGAGGUCUUUAACAUGUAAGAGAGGCCAAAGCAACAGAAAAGGGGAAUGUCUCUGAGAUUUGAUUUGGUACAUUUGCACCAAUGUACAGAGAGGCUGAGCUUUUGGUGACAGUAAGGAGUUAGAGCCCUGCUUUCCCUCUCCCCUCCCAGGUCAUUGGGAAAGAAGUUCCACUCUAGGCAGCUCCAGUCAAGAACACAGGGUUCUCUCUAUCCCCAGUGCCCAGCUGAGAGGUGCAGCAUCUCCCUGGGAGUGGCAGGCCACCAGCAUGUCUCAUCUCGCUCACCUCUGUGUUGAGGUGUAUUCCAGGGUGUGGGAUGUGUCAAAAGAAAAAGAAAUGAAAAAAUGAGUCAACAAUUCUGAAGAAGAAAAGAAGUUUAUGAAGCAAGGACAGGUAUUUAUGAAGAAAGGAAAGGACAGCAUAUUACUUGGCUUAGCAGUGAGCACCGUUUACUGAUUGUGACUGUAACCAAGAAAUGUGGUGUUAUGACAUCAAAAGGAGAGGAAAGAGUGUAAGUGAAUCUCAUCUGUCAUGAGAGGAAUGCCAAGAGACAGUAUCUAAAUUGGACUUCUCUGAGAUAGAAAUAAUAGCAAUAAAUGCUUAAUUUUGUUGUUGUUUUUCA